GAUAUCGGGGCUGCCACAUGAAGGGGCAAAGUGAACAAUUUUAUGAAUACCCCCCAAAAAACUUUAAUUAGUGUAAAUUAUCCUCUAAUAUUAACAAUAUCCUGGAACACCAACAGAGAUCGUUGUAUUUCACUGGGAACACAAAACAGAGAAAAUUCCAGACUGUCUGUUAAAGUUGUUGAUGAUCAAAGAUGAAUGGAUCUUCAGAUCUGCUCUGCUGCAGUGACAGACUCUGCUGUGAGGCCCACAGUGACAGGAAACCCACAGAGACGCUCCACUAGAGGGCGACAUCAUCCAGUAGGCGGUGCUCUCCUUCUGCACUGUGUUCAACCAUUGUGUCAAUAAUAAGUGCUGCUGUGAAGAGAACAAUUCUCAGACUGAAUGUUGAACAUCAGCUAGUUUCUCCUGUUGAUUGAAACCUUGUUGUACAGAUGGAACAUUGGCUGUGGAUUAUUCUUGCUGCUCUUUUCUUUGAGUGUAAAGGAGAAGACAAAGUGAUCCAGGAACAAGGAGAUGUCAUUGCUGCUGAAGGAGUCACAGUUACACUUGGAUGUAGAUUUGAAACCAGUGAUGCAAGCCCAACUUUGUUCUGGUACAAACAGAAAAAGAACGGCUCGCCAAAACUUUUAGUUCAACGAUUUUUCUUAUCAGCAGAUAAUUCUGAAGCAAAGGACAGAUUUGAUGCCAAAGUCGACAAGAAAGAAAAGUCAGUUCCUCUGAAGAUCCAGAAGCUUCAGCUGUCUGACUCUGCUGUGUACUACUGUGCUCUGCAGCCCACAGUGACAGGAAACACCAAAACUCUGUACAAAAACCUUUGGAGCAAAGACAACAGAAUACUCCACAACAUCCACUAGAGGGAG